GCGAGAGCAGCCUUCCUCCCGUGCCGCACCCAGCGCUCGGUCCUGGACCCCCUCCCGCCGCACAUCUCCCUCCUCCCCCAUCCUUCUCAUCCAGUCUCCCCGCAACCCAAGGCGCGUGCGCAUAAGCCCCUGCGGUUUGGGGGCAUCCCCAUCAGCUUUAAACUCUUGCGUUGGAGCGCGGUGAGGGUGUGGGGUGGGCUCAGUCCGCUCGAGAGGUGCCAUUUCGGUGUAGCGACACCAGAAACCCAAAGCACGUGGUGCACUCAGCCCUGUCCGCGGGGACACCGCCGGCUUUCCUUCCUUGAAAAUUCCCGUUCUUGGGCUUCGUUCGGGACCGCUGCGGCAGUGACGUCCACGGACCUCGCGGGCCCCAUCCUCCCAACUACGUCACUGCCAGUCCCUUGGCGGGGCCGAGCUCCUGCGCUCCCUUGACAGCUUUUCAUAUUUUUAGAAAACGAGAGAAGGUAAAGAACUCUUCACCAGUUCGACUGAACAAGCUCUUCCCUGCUGGAAAAGUUGUUGAUGUGGCUAACUUCUUAGUUGCAAUGACUGAGCAAGGUGGCAAGCAUUGGAAAGUACUAGAUACUCUCCAACUGAUGAUGAGAUCCGGUACCACAUGCGUGUGAUUGGAUAAAUGGAUGAAAGUCUAUGAGACCUUUUAUCAUCUUC